GGAGGUUUAGCUCUUUGGUAGGGCACCUGUGUAGGAAACAUGAGGUCCUGGGUUCAAAACCAAGUACCAUCA
rnacentral:tRNA from 1 species